rnacentral:rRNA from 1 species
GAUGAACGCUAGCGGCAGGCUUAACACAUGCAAGUCGAGGGGUAACAGGGAAAAGCUUGCUUUUUUGCUGACGACCGGCGCACGGGUGAGUAACGCGUAUAGAACCUACCUUUUACAGGGGAAUAGCCCAGAGAAAUUUGGAUUAAUGCCCUAUAGUAUUAUUGAGUGGCAUCAUUUAAUAAUUAAACAUUUAUGGGUAAAAGAUGGCUAUGCGUUCUAUUAGCUAGAUGGUAAGGUAACGGCUUACCAUGGCAACGAUAGAUAGGGGUCCUGAGAGGGAGAUCCCCCACACUGGUACUGAGACACGGACCAGACUCCUACGGGAGGCAGCAGUGAGGAAUAUUGGACAAUGGAGGCAACUCUGAUCCAGCCAUGCCGCGUGCAGGAAGACGGCCCUAUGGGUUGUAAACUGCUUUUAUACGGGAAGAAACCCAACUACGUGUAGUUGGCUGACGGUACCGUAAGAAUAAGCACCGGCUAACUCCGUGCCAGCAGCCGCGGUAAUACGGAGGGUGCAAGCGUUAUCCGGAAUCAUUGGGUUUAAAGGGUCCGUAGGCGGGCUAAUAAGUCAGGGGUGAAAUCCAACAGCUUAACUGUUGAACUGCCUUUGAUACUGUUAGUCUUGAAUUAUAUGGAAGUAGAUAGAAUGUGUAGUGUAGCGGUGAAAUGCUUAGAGAUUACACAGAAUACCGAUUGCGAAGGCAGUCUACUACGUAUAUA